UCCAGCUGAACCCCUAUGAGACAGUGUUGCCCAACACAUUCUUUUAGCCCUGGACUCUCCUCGACACACUGGCUCUGAGCCUUAUUUUAGUUUUGCUUUUAAGGGAAAUGGCAAUGUUUUAAGGAGAUCUAUUUCUCCGUCCAGCCAGGCACUACUGGCUUAGCGGAUAGCCUUGCUGUGUCAGGAAACUACCGUGUUCCUGACUCAUAAAAGAAGUGGCAUUUUGGUUUUCCACUGAAAGGUGACAUAAGGUCAGGAAUGCCAGAGGAGAGACAGCGAAGACCUUCAUGCUUAAGAAGUAAUCCAGGCCUCUCAGACGAGCAGACUGGGAGAGGAAGCCAAGUGGAGGAAGGGCAGGCAAGAGGCACAGCCAGUGCCUUGAGUCUCCCAACUCAAGGUGCAACUGCUACCUCCUCUCUGCCUUGCUUCCGGCCUCAGCACAUCUGGAAGGCAACCCAGGGACAUCCCAGCCCACACAAUUACUGGAGACAAAUGCUGUCAAUGUACCAAAAGAAUGAUGUCUGGGAUUUUA